rnacentral:rRNA from 1 species
AAACUGAAGAGUUUGAUCCUGGCUCAGAUUGAACGCUGGCGGCAUGCUUUACACAUGCAAGUCGAACGGUAACAGGGAGCUUGCUCCGCUGACGAGUGGCGAACGGGUGAGUAAUAUAUCGGAACGUACCCAAGAGUGGGGGAUAACGUAGCGAAAGUUACGCUAAUACCGCAUACGAUCUAAGGAUGAAAGUGGGGGCUCGCAAGACCUCAUGCUCCUGGAGCGGCCGAUAUCUGAUUAGCUAGUUGGUGAGGUAAAGGCUCACCAAGGCAACGAUCAGUAGCUGGUCUGAGA